AUGGUUCGAAUUAGAAUUCCACCAUCAAGGGUUCGUGGCCAGCAUGUCCUACUACUUUGGCAAAUGAUGCAGGAGCUUGGGGCACCAUGUCCACAAUUCUUUGAAGAGAUGCCAGAUGAUGGAACACACUCCUACAGACGUGUAGUUGUGGUGCUCAGCGGUGUUCCAUCAGACAUGGACUUCUAUGUGGAGCUCUUCGCAAUGCAGCGGUCAUCCAAUGACACUCUACCCACGCGGGAGGUUGCCAAGGAAGCUAUGCAUGGACUGCAAGCAUGUUUUGGAGAGAAAUUGCGCACCACUGGAUACCGUGACUUGCCAACACUUGAUUCUAGAAUUUUUGGGCAAAACCAUCAGCAAGGACCUAGAGUAGCAAGCCUGGGUGUUGGGUCUUCAUCAGCUCAACCUACACAUGCCGCUUCAACAGUUAGCACCACUUCUAGUAUGACAAUGAUUGCUGACACGAGGAUGUAUCAUACAAUGAAGGAGGAGCUUAUUAGACACCAGGAAGCAACCCAAUUCUGGUAUCAAUGCUAUCAGAUGAGCGAAUAUGAUAGGAUUAUGCUUCAGGGAUCACUAAAUGCUAUGCCUGGAGGUCCUCUUAAUCCUAUAGUAGUACCAUGUGAUGUUUAA
rnacentral:rRNA from 1 species